AUGUCAGAUUCUGGAAGCUGGAUUGAGGAGGCAAAAAGUCUUACGGUUCGGACUGGAUUUCUAACUAACCUCUCUUGUAGACUGGCACCCAGUACUCCCCUGGCUGUGCCCGCUGUCUCCAGACUUCCUCCAGUCCACCUGACUUCAAGGCACUUCCUCUUGCCCCAGCUCCUGAGCCUUCCUGCCCUUCUGCACAGGGGGAGACCCUGGAUACCUGUACCGCUCAAUUGUGUACAGAAUGUCUUAACAUAUGUAAGACCAUACAUCGUCACAAGUAGAGAGAAGAAUUUACACAGUAAGACGACUUGUGAUAUACAAAUUAUACGUAAGUUACCUCAUACAAGGAUCUAUAACAGUGUAAGUUGUCUAUAGUCAAUAAUCACUAAGGUGAAUCACAAGAAGAUAAUAAUGUACCUAUAUCUCAUCCUAACCAUAUCUAUCCCAUCCUCAAAGUAAAAAUCAUAGGAGAAAACAGAAGGCCAUCAUGUUUUGUCUUGUUUACAUGAGACAGAGUCUGACGGUCCAGCGCAGGCUGGCCUAGAAAUCAAGAUCCUCCGUCCUUAAGUCUCUGAAGUACUGGGAUGGACAAGUGUGCACCACUGUCCUGGAUUUGGCUACAAAAUUGUCUUUAUUACACACUUACAUUUAUUGAGUUUUACAAUUACAAAUGGAGCUUUCCUGUGUCACUGUACAGAUUAAAACUCCUACCCUUCAGUUUUCACUCACGUAGCCUUUAUUUUCCUAAUAUUCCAUAAACGCUCUUCAGUGAGAAGCCUGUGUGAGUCUCCACAGCUCUUUCUUGGGGGAUCUUUGUAAAAAAAACUCUGCCAGAGUUACAUUCUUGGGGAACUUACUUUGGGAACAUCAUUAUUUCCCAAAUCAAGGAUGAUUCCAAAUAGCUCAUGGUGUCCAUUGCCCUGGGGAGGUUGUUCCGAUGCCCCAUUGUUUUCCUGCUGUUGGAGAACUUGGCAUGUCUAAGAUGACUUCUUGGCUGAAAUCAACUUCCCUGAGAUUUUCGGUAUCUCUGUUCAAUUGUCCUCCCAAAUCCUGGAUGAUUAGUAAGAAACAAAGUUGUUUUAACUCUUCUCUCUCUCUCCUCCCCUGAGUCCUCUCCUUGUUCUCUUGCUCCUCUUCCUCUUUCCCUGUUUCUUCUAUUUAUUCUUUCUGUCCGCCCUUGCGCCUGCCUUGCUGUUGGCAUUCAGCUCUUUAUUAGACCAUCAGGUGUUUUAGACAGGCAAAGAAUCACAGCUUCACGGUUUAACGCAGCAUAAACAAGUCAUACACCUUAAAAAUACUCCCCAACAUUUACCCGUUUUUGUCUAAACAAAAAAAGGUUUUAGCUAUAAAAUAGUAGAACUAUAUACAACAAAAAUAGUUAUCAAAUAAGAAUUAAUUUACAAUAUUCUGUCCAUUUGCAAUUCAGCAAAUUCAGAGAAAAUAAUGCACUAUCUAUCCUAUCUCAGUGAAUCCAAAGUUUUAUACCUAACCUACUUUCUAUCAUAUCUAAGGAACACUGCAACUAUAUGAGGUUUUCAACUCCAUCAAAGACUCCAGAAGGAUAUAAUAUUAUUUAAAUAAACAAAAAUCGCAUUGCAAAUUACUUCCAAAAACUCUAAAAAUGACAGAGACAUAUGACUGCCUGGACAGUCACCCAAAGUUCCUUUAAAACACUGGGGCAUUC
rnacentral:lncRNA from 1 species